GAUGUCGGCUCAUCACAUCCUGGGGCUGAAGUAGGUCCCAAGGGUAUGGCUGUUCGCCAUUUAAAGUGGUACGCGAGCUGGGUUUAGAACGUCGUGAGACAGUUCGGUCCCUAUCUGCCGUGGGCGUUGGAUGAUUAAUUGGGGCUGCUCCUAGUACGAGAGGACCGGAGUGGACGCAUCACUGGUGUUCCAGUUGUCUCGCCAGAGGCAUUGCUGGGUAGCUAAGUGCGGAAGAGAUAAGUGCUGAAAGCAUCUAAGCACGAAACUUGCCAAGAGAUGAGUCAUCCCUGACUUUAAGUCAGUAAGGGUUGUUGUAGACUACGACGUAGAUAGGUCUGGUGUGUAAGUGUAGUGAUAUAUUGAGCUAACAGAUACUAAUUGCCCGAGAGGCUUAACUAUACAACGCUCAAG
rnacentral:rRNA from 1 species